CCGGAUAUAGGUCUGUAACUCCAAGAAAGAGUUCAGGACCCAAGAAAGGAACAUACAUACUAGGCGACCCCAGACAGCCGCCCUCUGACAAUCCAUGGACCCAAGACUCCUGCAGCUGCCCCUGAGAAGCAACCAGAAGACAUCAAAGGCCGGAUUCCCAAGGGUCUUCCAAAGCCUUACAACAGACUACAGAGUUGAAGUGCUGGAAGACGGAGUGUUACCCCUAAUCUUAUUACACCCCCCCCAGACUAAUCCCCAAGCUGGGAGUCCUACCACCCGGGUCCUCCCUCCCACAACUCUGUCUUACCGACCCUAUAAAUCGUAAUAAAUAUCUGUGUUACAGCAGGGAGGCAUAUCUCGCACCCCUGCAUAAGUUAGAAUAAAUAUUACAUACACCCCUCCUUCACCUAGGAGGAUAUACAUAAAUACAUAAAUAUUAAUUAGACACGGAGAAA
rnacentral:lncRNA from 1 species